rnacentral:rRNA from 1 species
UGGAGGGCAAGUCUGGUGCCAGCAGCCGCGGUAAUUCCAGCUCCAAUAGCGUAUAUUAAAGUUGUUGCAGUUAAAAAGCUCGUAGUUGAAUUUCGGGAUCAAUUUAUUGGUCGUGCUAUUGUACGUACUGGUAUUAUUGAUUCCUACCUUCUGACGAACCAUGAUGUCAUUAAUUUGGUGUCAUGGGGAAUCAGGACUGUUACUUUGAAAAAAUUAGAGUGUUUAAAGCAGGCUCAUGCUUGAAUACAUUAGCAUGGAAUAACGAAAUAGGACGUUUGAUUCUAUUUUGUUGGUUUCUAGGAUCGACGUAAUGAUUAAUAGGGAUAGUUGGGGGCAUUAGUAUUCAAUUGUCAGAGGUGAAAUUCUUGGAUUUAUUGAAGACUAACUACUGCGAAAGCAUUUGCCAAGGAUGUUUUCAUUAAUCAAGAACGAAAGUUAGGGGAUCGAAGACGAUCAGAUACCGUCGUAGUCUUAACCAUAAACUAUGCCGACUAGGGAUCGGACGAUGUUAAUUUUUUAAUGACUCGUUCGGCGCCUUACGGGAAAC